CCUCGUUACCUCCUCCUGUGUAAACAACCUGUGCCCUCCUUGUGUUUGUUGCCAGUUCCUUUCUGACUUCCUGGUUUCUGGGACUCCUGUCUGUGUCUUGGGCUUCACCUUUGCGUUACCUUCGGCCUGCGCUGACUUCCUUCCCCUGUGCUGAUCUCCUGCUGUUCCACUAAAGAUACUGAUGCUGACCCCAGUGGCUUCCUCCUCCUAUUGACUUUGGCUUGACCACAGCCACAAUCAACAGUUGCCACCGCGCGGCCUGCAAGUACAUCAAACCUCUUGAGCCACCUGCUUCCUGAGGGUGGAAGUACUGACGCUGUUCACGCGGGGACGUCGCACAUUCGCUGCUCGGCGUGACUCGGCCUGUGAAUAUCUCAGCAGUCUGCCCUCACCAGCUUACCUGACGGUCGUCUUACAGGAGUUCUCCUUCCAGAAAUCUGUCCUCCCUUCAUCCAUCCAUCCAUCCAUCCAUGGGAAUAUGAGAGUCUGCCUCAGAGCUGCUGGUCUCUGUGCAGCUCUCAGACCAGCGGGACCAGUGCUGUGUCAGUGUCAGAUCUCCACUCAUGUGUGGAGCAGCUCAGACACGAGUUCAGUCUAUCCCAGCACCCCGAAUCUCUCCCUGUCCUGGUUUCCUUUUCGGCCUCUCCUCUCCCCUUCUGUCUCCCACAUAGGAGUCUUUUUCAUCUGCCGUCUUUUCCUCCAAAGGGAGCUCACCUCCUCCUCCUCACCGAUGAAGAGGGCUGAUGUUUCAUUUCCAAAUCACUGUGGCUCACAGUUGUUACCACUCUCCUCUUUUUUGCUCUCUUUCUCCAAUGCACUGAGAGACAAACACAACCGAGGGAAGCUGGUGCACAAUGGGCAUGUUGACAUAUAAGAGGAGGUGGCGUCGGAGAGGCUGAGGUCUCUGUGGUGCUCAAAUGAGAAAGGACAUCGCUCAUUUCCAACCUCAAAUUGCCUUGCACUCAUCUCUGACCCUCGCGUAACAGCCUCACUCAGGCAAUUCAUCGCCCAUUCUCACACGUAAAAAAACAAGUGUGUUUACACAGCAACAUGUGUGAUCACACACACACACACAUGGAUGAAAAUGUGAUGUCUAAGCGCUCGCAAUCACAGAGUGAAUAAAACAGAUAUAAAUGAGUCUGAUGCCACAUAGCCUUGAUCCGUUCAUGUGUGUGUUACUGACUCAGAUCUGUUAGCACACAUUACAAAGACCAGGCAGCCAUUUGUAUCCCGUACCCUCUGGGCAAGACCCUGUCUCCAUGGCUACAAGAUCAUGUUGACCAGUUAAAAAGCUAAAAAAUAAUGGCUACCCGGGAGGCAGAGUGAUUGAUUGCAGUUUUCCACGAGGGAGAAUCAGCCGGACUGUGGAUGUUUGUGGGUGCUGCAGAGUCAUCUGGCUGACAUUUCACCUCAUGGGCAGGGAUGAGCAGGUCCUCCACCAGCUUCAGCGAUUUCCUUCCCCCGUCUCUACCUUCUGUCAGAUCGCCCUGUGGAAACGUCCCUGCUCAUAUAACUUCAUUACUUUUUAAUGCAGCUGUAAUUACUCCAGUCUGUUGUAAUUGGACAGAGAUAUGAGAACAAUAAAGGAUGUCGGG